CCUACGGGUGGCAGCAGUGAGGAAUAUUGGUCAAUGGACGAGAGUCUGAACCAGCCAAGUAGCGUGAAGGAUGACUGCCCUAUGGGUUGUAAACUUCUUUUAUAUGGGAAUAAACUGUUCCACGUGUGGGAUUUUGUAUGUACCAUAUGAAUAAGGAUCGGCUAACUCCGUGCCAGCAGCCGCGGUAAUACGGAGGAUCCGAGCGUUAUCCGGAUUUAUUGGGUUUAAAGGGUGCGUAGGUGGAUUGUUAAGUCAGUUGUGAAAGUUUGCGGCUCAACCGUAAAAUUGCAGUUGAAACUGGCAGUCUUGAGUACAGUAGAGGUGGGCGGAAUUCGUGGUGUAGCGGUGAAAUGCUUAGAUAUCACGAAGAACUCCGAUUGCGAAGGCAGUUCACUGGACUGCAACUGACACUGAGGCUCGAAAGUGUGGGUAUCAAACAGGAUUAGAUACCCUUGUAGUC
rnacentral:rRNA from 1 species